UUGAAGAGUUUGAUCAUGGCUCAGAUUGAACGCUGGCGGCAGGCCUAACACAUGCAAGUCGAACGGUAACAGGAAUCAGCUUGCUGUUUCGCUGACGAGUGGCGGACGGGUGAGUAAUGUCUGGGAAACGGCCUGAUGGAGGGGGAUAACUACUGGAAACGGUAGCUAAUACCGCAUAACGUCGCAAGACCAAAGAGGGGGACCUUCGGGCCUCUUGCCAUCGGAUGUGCCCAGAUGGGAUUAGCUUGUUGGUGGGGUAACGGCUCACCAAGGCGACGAUCCCUAGCUGGUCUGAGAGGAUGACCAGCCACACUGGAACUGAGACACGGUCCAGACUCCUACGGGAGGCAGCAGUGGGGAAUAUUGCACAAUGGGCGCAAGCCUGAUGCAGCCAUGCCGCGUGUAUGAAGAAGGCCUUCGGGUUGUAAAGUACUUUCAGCGGGGAGGAAGGGAGUAAAGUUAAUACCUUUGCUCAUUGACGUUACCCGCAGAAGAAGCACCGGCUAACUCCGUGCCAGCAGCCGCGGUAAUACGGAGGGUGCAAGCGUUAAUCGGAAUUACUGGGCGUAAAGCGCACGCAGGCGGUUUGUUAAGUCAGAUGUGAAAUCCCCGGGCUCAACCUGGGAACUGCAUCUGAUACUGGCAAGCUUGAGUCUCGUAGAGGGGGGUAGAAUUCCAGGUGUAGCGGUGAAAUGCGUAGAGAUCUGGAGGAAUACCGGUGGCGAAGGCGGCCCCCUGGACGAAGACUGACGCUCAGGUGCGAAAGCGUGGGGAGCAAACAGGAUUAGAUACCCUGGUAGUCCACGCCGUAAACGAUGUCGACUUGGAGGUUGUGCCCUUGAGGCGUGGCUUCCGGAGCUAACGCGUUAAGUCGACCGCCUGGGGAGUACGGCCGCAAGGUUAAAACUCAAAUGAAUUGACGGGGGCCCGCACAAGCGGUGGAGCAUGUGGUUUAAUUCGAUGCAACGCGAAGAACCUUACCUGGUCUUGACAUCCACGGAAGUUUUCAGAGAUGAGAAUGUGCCUUCGGGAACCGUGAGACAGGUGCUGCAUGGCUGUCGUCAGCUCGUGUUGUGAAAUGUUGGGUUAAGUCCCGCAACGAGCGCAACCCUUAUCCUUUGUUGCCAGCGGUCCGGCCGGGAACUCAAAGGAGACUGCCAGUGAUAAACUGGAGGAAGGUGGGGAUGACGUCAAGUCAUCAUGGCCCUUACGACCAGGGCUACACACGUGCUACAAUGGCGCAUACAAAGAGAAGCGACCUCGCGAGAGCAAGCGGACCUCAUAAAGUGCGUCGUAGUCCGGAUUGGAGUCUGCAACUCGACUCCAUGAAGUCGGAAUCGCUAGUAAUCGUGGAUCAGAAUGCCACGGUGAAUACGUUCCCGGGCCUUGUACACACCGCCCGUCACACCAUGGGAGUGGGUUGCAAAAGAAGUAGGUAGCUUAACCUUCGGGAGGGCGCUUACCACUUUGUGAUUCAUGACUGGGGUGAAGUCGUAACAAGGUAACCGUAGGGGAACCUGCGGUUGGAUCACCUCCUU
rnacentral:rRNA from 1 species